AUUGAACGCUGGCGGCAUGCCUUACACAUGCAAGUCGAACGGUAACGGGCCUUCGGGUGCCGACGAGUGGCGAACGGGUGAGUAAUACAUCGGAACGUGCCCGAUCGUGGGGGAUAACGAGGCGAAAGCUUUGCUAAUACCGCAUACGAUCUACGGAUGAAAGCAGGGGACCGCAAGGCCUUGCGCGGACGGAGCGGCCGAUGGCAGAUUAGGUAGUUGGUGGGAUAAAAGCUUACCAAGCCGACGAUCUGUAGCUGGUCUGAGAGGAUGAGCAGCCACACUGGGACUGAGACACGGCCCAGACUCCUACGGGAGGCAGCAGUGGGGAAUUUUGGACAAUGGGCGCAAGCCUGAUCCAGCCAUGCCGCGUGCAGGAUGAAGGCCUUCGGGUUGUAAACUGCUUUUGUACGGAACGAAAAGCCUUCUUUUAAUACAGGAGGGUCAUGACGGUACCGUAAGAAUAAACACCGGCUAACUACGU
rnacentral:rRNA from 1 species